rnacentral:rRNA from 1 species
CCUACGGGUGGCAGCAGUGGGGAAUAUUGCACAAUGGGGGAAACCCUGAUGCAGCGACGCCGCGUGAGUGAAGAAGUAUUUCGGUAUGUAAAGCUCUAUCAGCAGGGAAGAAAAUGACGGUACCUGAUUAAGAAGCCCCGGCUAACUACGUGCCAGCAGCCGCGGUAAUACGUAGGGGGCAAGCGUUAUCCGGAUUUACUGGGUGUAAAGGGAGCGUAGACGGCAGCACAAGUCUGGGGUGAAAGGCCGGGGUUUAACCCAGGAACUGUUUUGGAAACUGUGCAGCUAGAGGGCAGGGGAGGUAGGGAGAACUCGUGGUGGAGCGGGAAAAGGAGUAGAU